CAGACGUAACUGUACCUUUCUGGGUUCUUGGUACAGACUAUGAAAGUUAUUCUGUAGGUUUGUCCUGUUUUGAACGAGAUGGUGCUCCUCUAGCGAGCCUUUUCAUUUCAACAAGAACUCCAUUUCCACCAAAAGAUCUGGUGGAUUCGAUUCUCCAAGUUCUUGACGACAACAAUUUUGCUAUAAAGCCACUAAUCUUCACAGACCAAAAUGAAUGUACUUAUUAGAUUAAAAUAAAAUACGAGUAUAUUAUCUGA
rnacentral:lncRNA from 1 species